rnacentral:lncRNA from 1 species
CUUAGAAAGGAAAUGCCUCAUUCGUCAACUCCCUCGACCGGAGACUUGGGGGACUCCUACCAUAUGCUACUGUACCUUGAUACUCGAAAGUCUCACGACCACUCAGUGACUUGGAUUUUUCAAGUCUCCAACCGAGAAGUUUUCCCCACUCGGGAAAUUAAGGGAGCACUACCUCAACAUACAUGCUUCACUAACAAAGCUUCAACAUACAAGCUUCAACAAAAGAAAAAAAUUCAAAGAACUUAGUGAAGAAGGCUUUGGUGUAUUUAACACAAUACGUUGAAAUGAAGCAAAGUCUAUUUAUUGAUAUCUCCGAUAACUUACAAAUAUGUACAUAUACAUGAAUCAAAAUAAACAAACAAGAGGGAGCCUUCACAAAGGUUGCUCAGGAGAAGUCUCAGCAGUCGGCAAAGCCCCAAAAAGAGUAGGCAUCGGAUGGUGAUUAUUCGGAGCCUCAGUACUGGGCAGAACCCAGAAGGAGGAGGCACCAGAGGUUGAUCAUUUGGAGCUUCAUUAUGCGGUACAGCCCUAGAAGACGAUGGCAAUUUGGAACAAACCCACAAACCUCUGAUCAUCAAGUAAAAUCUGACCAUUAGAUUCCUGCAGUUGGUCAAGCUUCCUCUUCAUGUUUGUAGCAUAGUCAUGUGCAAGCCUAUGCAAUUGUUUAUUCUCAUG